rnacentral:rRNA from 1 species
UACGUAGGGACCAAGCGUUGUUCGGAUUUACUGGGCGUAAAGGGCGCGUAGGCGGCAUGACAAGUCACUUGUGAAAUCUCCGGGCUUAACUCGGAACGGUCAAGUGAUACUGUCGCGCUAGAGUGCGGAAGGGGCAAUCAGAAUUCUUGGUGUAGCGGUGAAAUGCGUAGAUAUCAAGAGGAAUACCUGAGGUGAAGACGGGUUGCUAGGCCGACACUGACGCUGAAGCGCGAAAGCCCAGGGGGAGCAAACGGGG